AGAGUUUGAUCCUGGCUCAGAUUGAACCCCCCGCGCAAUGCUUUACACAUGCAAGUCGAACGGCAGCACGGGGGCAACCCUGGUGGCGAGUGGCGAACGGGUGAGUAAUACAUCGGAACGUGCCCAGUCGUGGGGGAUAACGUAGCGAAAGCUACGCUAAUACCGCAUACGAACUCUGGUUGAAAGCGGGGGAUCGCAAGACCUCGCGCGAUUGGAGCGGCCGAUGGCAGAUUAGGUAGUUGGUGGGGUAAAGGCUCACCAAGCCGACGAUCUGUAGCUGGUCUGAGAGGACGACCAGCCACACUGGGACUGAGACACGGCCCAGACUCCUACGGGAGGCAGCAGUGGGGAAUUUUGGACAAUGGGCGCAAGCCUGAUCCAGCCAUUCCGCGUGCAGGAUGAAGGCCCUCGGGUUGUAAACUGCUUUUGUACGGAACGAAAAGGCCUGGGUUAAUACCUCGGGCUCAUGACGGUACCG
rnacentral:rRNA from 1 species